rnacentral:rRNA from 1 species
AGCAAUGCACCGGCGGCGGAAGGGUGAGUAAGGCGACGGCAACCAACCCCGAGGAUGGGUAUAGCCGCGGGAAACUGCGGGUAAUCCCCAGCGAUGCGAGGGCGUCGGCAUCGACGCUUCGCCAAAUGGAUUCGUCCGCCUCGGGACGGGCCGUCGUGGUAUUAGGUCGUUGGCGGGGUAGCGGCCCACCAAGCCUUCGAUGCCUACCGGGCGUGCGAGCGCGGCCCGGCACACUGGGACUGAGACACUGCCCAGACUCCUACGGGAGGCUGCAGUCGAGAAUCUUCGGCAAUGGGCGCAAGCCUGACCGAGCGACGCCGCGUGGAGGACGAAGGCCUUCGGGUUGUAAACUCCUGUCGAGGGGGAGAAAGGCUCCGCGAGGGGCUUGAUCGAUCCCUGGAGGAAGCACGGGCUAAGUUCGUGCCAGCAGCCGCGGUAAGACGAACCGUGCGAACGUUAUUCGGAAUCACUGGGCUUAAAGCGCGUGUAGGCGGAUCGGAACGUCGAUGCCUGAAAUCCCCCGGCUCAACCGGGGAACGUGGCCCGAAACGACCGGUCUCGAGGGGUGUAGGGGGGACUGGAACUUCCGGUGGAGCGGUGAAAUGCGUUGAGAUCGGAAGGAACGCCCGUGGCGAAAGCGAGUCCCUGGACGCCUGCUGACGCUGAGACGCGAAAGCUAGGGGAGCGAACGGGAUUAGAUACCCCGGUAGUCCUAGCCGUAAACGAUGAGCACUGGGUAGGGGGUCCGCCCAUGGACUCCCUGCCGCAGGG